UUAAUUUGAGCCACUAGGAGCUUAAAAUCCCUCAACUGCUCCUUCUUCUUCGCCUUCUUGCACAACUCUAUAGCAUCUUCAACCCUUUUAAGAAUGUCAUCUAAGUCCCCAUCAGCAUCGGAUUGCGAGGCCGCCAUUACGAGGCCAUGAUAGGCCUCGACGAGAAACGGGUCCUUCUCCAAUAGCUCCUCGAACCCUUGCUUCGCUGCUUCGAAGUCGCCAUUGUAGCUCUGCAGGUGGGCUUUGAGAAGGGGGAGAUCGUUCUCAUCGGGCUCCAGCGCGAUGAGGCGGUCGACGAUGCCG
rnacentral:lncRNA from 1 species